rnacentral:rRNA from 1 species
AACGUAGGUGGCAAGCGUUAUCCGGAUUCAUUGGGCGUAAAGAGGGCGCAGGCGGCCCUUCAAGUCGGAUGUAAAAUCUCCCGGCUUAACCGGGAGGGAUCAUUCGAAACUGUCGGGCUAGAGGACAACAGGGGGAGGUAGAAUUCCCGGUGUAGUGGUGAAAUGCGUAGAUAUCGGGAGGAAUACCAGUGGCGAAGGCGGCCUCCUGGGUUGUUACUGACGCUUAAGCCCGGAAGCGUGGGGAGCAAACAGGAUUAGAUACCCGCGUA